UCGAGCGGUAGCACAGAGAGCUUGCUCUCGGGUGACGAGCGGCGGACAGGUGAGUAAUGUCUGGGAAACUGCCUGAUGGAGGGGGAUAACUACUGGAAACGGUUGCUAAUACCGCAUAAUGUCCCAAGACCAAAGUGGGGGACCUUCGGGCCUCUUGCCAUCAGAUGUGCCCAGAUGGGAUUAGCUAUUAGGUGGGGUAACGGCUCACCUAGGCGACGAUCCCUAUCUGGUCUGAGAGGAUGACCAGCCACACUGGAACUGAGACACGGUCCAGACUCCUACGGGAGGCAGCAGUGGGGAAUAUUGCACAAUGGGCGCAAGCCUGAUGCAGCCAUGCCGCGUGUAUGAAGAAGGCCUUCGGGUUGUAAAGUACUUUCAGCGGGGAGGAAGGCUAUAACGUUAAUAACCUUGUCGAUUGACGUUACCCGCAGAAGAAGCACCGGCUAACUCCGUGCCAGCAGCCGCGGUAAUACGGAGGGUGCAAGCGUUAAUCGGAAUUACUGGGCGUAAAGCGCACGCAGGCGGUCUGUCAAGUCUGAUGUGAAAUCCCCGGGCUCAACCUGGGAACUGCAUUCGAAACUGGCAGGCUAGAGUCUUGUAGAGGGGGGUAGAAUUCCACGUGUAGCGGUGAAAUGCUGUAGAGAUCUGGAGGAGUACCAGCUGGUCGAAGGACGCCCCCUCUGGUACAAACGACUGACGCUCAUGAUGCGAAAGCGUGGUGGAGCAAACAGGAUUAUAUACUCCUGGUAGUCCUACGCCGUAAACGAUGAUCGAUUUCGGAGGUUGUGCCCGUU
rnacentral:rRNA from 1 species